rnacentral:rRNA from 1 species
GAUGAACGCUGGCGGCGUGCCUAAUACAUGCAAGUCGAGCGAACAGACGAGGAGCUUGCUCCUCUGACGUUAGCGGCGGACGGGUGAGUAACACGUGGAUAACCUACCUAUAAGACUGGGAUAACUUCGGGAAACCGGAGCUAAUACCGGAUAAUAUAUUGAACCGCAUGGAUCAAUAGUGAAAGACGGUUUUGCUGUCACUUAUAGCUGGAUCCGCGCCGCAUUAGCUAGUUGGUAAGGUAACGGCUUACCAAGGCAACGAUGCGUAGCCGACCUGAGAGGGUGAUCGGCCACACUGGAACUGAGACACGGUCCAGACUCCUACGGGAGGCAGCAGUAGGGAAUCUUCCGCAAUGGGCGAAAGCCUGACGGAGCCACGCCGCGUGAGUGAUGAAGGUCUUCGGAUCGUAAAACUCUGUUAUUAGGGAAGAACAAAUGUGUAAGUAACUAUGCACGUCUUGACGGUACCUAAUCAGAAAGCCACGGCUAACUACGUG